rnacentral:rRNA from 1 species
UACGGGGGGGGCAAGCGUUGUUCGGAAUUACUGGGCGUAAAGGGCCCGUAGGCGGCCAACUAAGUCAGACGUGAAAUCCCUCGGCUUAACCGGGGAACUGCGUCUGAUACUGGAUGGCUUGAGUUCGGGAGAGGGAUGCGGAAUUCCAGGUGUAGCGGUGAAAUGCGUAGAUAUCUGGAGGAACACCGGUGGCGAAGGCGGCAUCCUGGACCGACACUGACACUGAGGAGCGAAAGCCAGGGGAGCAAACGGG